AGGGCUGUGGCUCAGAGGCAGAGCAUCUGCCUUGCUUGCACAAGGUCCCAGGUUCAAUCCCCAGCAUCUUCU